GAGAGUCCGGAGCAGGAAAAACGGUCAACACUAAGAGGGUGAUUCAGUACUUCGCCAUCAUCGCUGCGUUGGGGGAAAACGUGAAAAAAGGAGGAUCUUUAGAGGACCAGAUCAUUGAGGCGAAUCCAGCCAUGGAGGCGUUCGGAAACGCUAAAACCAUCCGCAACGACAACUCGUCCCGCUUUGGAAAGUUCAUCAGAAUUCAUUUUGGGCCGACGGGGAGGCUGGCGUCCGCUGACAUCGACAUCUAUCUUCUAGAAAAGUCCAGAGUUGUUUUCCAGCAGCCAGCAGAGAGAAGCUACCACAUCUACUACCAGAUCCUGUCCAAUCACA